UUUUGAGUGGGGGGGAUUCUGAAGCAGUUGGAGAAUCCAUUAGAAGGGACUGCAGUGGACAUCUGGCCUUUACUGCUCUUUUAUGUCUACUGUUUCUUCCAAGCGUUUUUCUCUGACCUUUAACCACCAGAAUUCUGUUGGGGGAGAAUUUGGAAGAUGGAAGGGGUCACAAAGGCGCCGGACAUCUGUAUUACCACUCAGUCACAGGCUGUUGCACCAAGCUCGCAAUCUAAGCCGGGAACUCUGUCUGCUGCUGAGCUUGGCUGGUCUAUCCGUCGUUGCUCUGCUCUCUCUGCACGAUUCAUGGAUUCGUUUCCACGUGCCAUUGGGUAAGCCCGGCAACUUCACCUUCAUUGACAUCUACACAUCAAUCUUUGUUCCCUGCCCAGAGACUGAAUGCACACUGGAGCCUGAUGAGCCACCCUAUUACCUGAAUUUCUCCGUCACCUUCAUCCUCAUUGCCACCCUCAUCAGUUUCCUUCUGUGCCUGGCCUUGGCCUACACCAUUCUCUUCUUCAGAGGCUCGGUGCCCAUCAUUGACCUCACCAUCUCCAUUAUGAGCUUCAGUACAGGCCUCUUGCUGUUCCUGUGUGCCCUGUUCUACCUGCUUCAGGCCCGGAAUUUCCUGCAGAAUGGAAUGAGCUACACCCUGGAGACAAACUACUACCUGGCAUGGCUAGGCAUUUUCCUCUAUAUGCUGACAGGCUUCUUUUGCUUCCUCAACUAUGCGAAUUUCUGGUCUAUGAUGACACCUGGAGGGGCCUGGCUUUAGGCUUUGAGAUGGAUUCCUACCCUGGACCCUGCCCUCCCUGCUUCUUACCCUCACCCCAAGCCUUCCCAGCUGGGACUGUCGCUCUCCCUGGCUGAUCCCUUCUGUUCCCUCUUGACUCCUCAGCUUAAUAAACUGGCGUGUCCUCACUCUCCCCA
rnacentral:lncRNA from 1 species